AUGUCCCUGCUGCUGCGCUCCCAGCUGGGAGAGCUGCUCAGCGCUUCAGUGGGAGCGGGGAAGCUGCAGCUGGUCUCACUGCUGGUGGAAGAUGUGAAUGAGUGCAGUUUGGGGGUCAGCCUGUGUGGGGAGGAGGCAGAGUGUUUCAACGGCGUGGGCACCUACCUGUGCCGCUGCAAGAAGGGCUACGAGGACCGUUCUCCCACCAAGUCUGGCACUCUGUGCGUCCGCACUCCCCAGUCAGGGUUGGGCUUCCUGCUCCGCCAUGCUGACAUCCUGGUGGGGGCAGCCAUCACGGCCAGCCUGGUGCUGCUGGUGGCUGCCGGAGCCUUGUGCUGGGCAAAAUGGCGGAGACGGCAUCCGAGCAGGGCCCUGGAGCCUGAGGAGCCACUGGAGCGGGCUGUGGAAGAGCCACCAGUGAUAGAGCUGCGGGACCUGGGGGACUGCCUGCGCCUUGACCCCUUCCAGCUGAAGCUGCGGGCCAGGCCCCCUGAGUGGCUGUGGGGGGCUCGGGCACACCCUGGCCAGGCCUACAGAGUCUUCCUGGAACAGUCGCCUCCACUCUAG
rnacentral:lncRNA from 1 species